rnacentral:lncRNA from 1 species
AGUAACUCUUGCGAGGUCCCCACAUCACCCAAGGCUCUGGCUUUGUGCAGGUUCAGAGUCUGCCUCUCAUGCGUGCUGUGACCACUGCAGACUCACAGACUGAGGAGCGGCUCAGCCCUUCAGUGAUGAGACGGUGCAACAUGUUUGUGGAUCAGAGGAGUCAGGUGCCAGAGGCCCUCAUCGCCUCCACCUACAGGUUAAGAAUUCUCACCUCCACCACCCAAGUGUCACCCUGUCGCACUUUCUCUACCUGAAAAUCAAGAGGUCUUACAUCUUCCAGCUGAAUGUCAAGAGGUUGUAUUUUACCUAUAUGAAUGUUCUGAAGUCUCCACCGGUAUACCAGAGUGUUGGGAGAUCUCAUUGCCCCCAUCUGGGUGCCAGGGCAUGUCCUACCCUCUACUUGAAUAUAGUCUCAUAUCCCUGUCUAAAUGGCAUGGAGCUUUCAUCUCCUCUGCUAGAGUAUCAUGAGAUCUCCUCUAUUCUGGGUGUCCAAAGUUCUCAUCUCAACCCCCUGAGGUCUGGAGGUAUUCUCACCUCUUCCUGGUUGUCUGGAGGUCUCAUCUCCCUUACCUGAGAGUCAUGAAACCUCCUAUCUCCUAUAUGCCCUAUCUAAGUCAUGACACUUUAUCUCCUCCGAGUGUCAGGGGAUUUUUCUACCUUUAUGUCAGGUAGCCCCACUUCCUCUAGCUGAAGGGCAUACAAGUUCUAUUUCG